AGCCGAUAUAAUUUGCCGAUAUUCUGUACAUUUACCAUUUUGGAAAAUAAAAACUAUUUCUAAAGGUAAAUGCACAAAAUAUACAUGCCACGUGUAGUGGAUGCAGUGUGACAGGGGAGCUGUGUGUGUGUGUGUGCAGUGGAUGCAGUGUGUGUCUUUGUGUAGUGUGUGUGUAGUGGAUGCAGUGUGUUAAUUCCUGCUUGGUUCACUGCUGCCCACCUUUAGUUUAUUUAGUGAGCGCCUAACUCCUCUUUGUUGUGUCUUUGUGUAGUGUGUGUGUAGUGGAUGCAGUGUGUGUUUGUGUAGUGUGUGGGUUGUGGAUGCAGUGUGUGUUUGUGUAGUGUGUGUGGAGGAUGCAAUGUGUGUUUGUGUAGUGGAUGCAGUGUGUAUUUGUUUAGUGUGUGUAGUGGAUGCAGUGUGUAUUAUGUAGUGUGUAUAUAAUGAAAGCAGAGUGUUUGUGUAGUGUGUGGGUAGUGUGCGUAAAGUGAAUGCUGUAUAUACUAAAUGCAAAGUGUGUGUGUAUAUAAUGAAUGCAGAGUGUGUGUGUGUAUUUGUGUAGUGUGUGUAUAGUGAAUAUAGUGUGUGUAUAUAAUGCAGUGUGUUUGUGUAGUGUGCAUUAUAUAAACACACUACGCAAAUACACUGCAUUAUAUACACACACUAUGCAAACACACUGCAUUAUAUACACACACUACACACACAAACACUGCAUUAUAUAAACACUACACAAACACACACUGCAUUAUAUACACACUGCACAAACACACACUGAAUUAUAUAAACACACUACACAAAUACACUGCAUUAUAUACACACACUACACAAACACACACUGCAUUAUAUACACAGUGUGUUUGUAUAGUGUGUGUAUAUAAUGCAGUUUGUGUGUGUGUAUAUAAUGCAGUUUGUGUGUGUUUGUAUAGUGUGUGU